GCCCUGCUAGCUCAGUGGUAGAGCGUCGCACUCGUAAUGCGAAGGUCAGUCGCACUCGUAAUGCGAAGGUCAGUCGUUCAAGUCGGCUGUGGGGCA
rfam:Schizophyllum commune H4-8 unplaced genomic scaffold SCHCOscaffold_16, whole genome shotgun sequence.